rnacentral:rRNA from 1 species
UAUUAGAGGCACUGCCUGCCCAGUGACAUAUGUUCAACGGCCGCGGUAUCCUGACCGUGCAAAGGUAGCAUAAUCAUUUGUUCUCCAAUUAAGGACUUGUAUGAAUGGCUUAACGAGGGUUUAACUGUCUCUUACUCUCAAUCAGUGAAAUUGACCUCCCCGUGAAGAGGCGGGGAUAUUCCAAUAAGACGAGAAGACCCUAUGGAGCUUAAAUUUAUUAAUCUAGGCAUUUCAACAACAACUUCUCCGGAAUAAUUAAAGUCCCGCCUUUAGAUUACAAAUUUUGGUUGGGGUGACCUCGGAGUAUAAAAUAACCUCCGAAUGAUUCUAACCUAGACGCACACGUCCAAGUUCAUAAUCACCAAUUGACCCAAUCUUAUUGAUCAACGGAACAAGUUACCCUAGGGAUAACAGCGCAAUCCUACUCAAGAGUCCAUAUCGACAGUAGGGUUUACGACCUCGAUGUUGGAUCAGGACAUCCAAAUGGUGUAACCGCUAUUAAUGGUUCGUUUGUUCAACGAUUAAAGUC